UACCAGCACCCCGAGUGGUCGGGACGAUUAUUGGGCCUAAAGCAUCCGUAGCCGGUUCUACAAGUCUUCCGUUAAAAUCCACCUGCUUAACAGAUGGGCUGCGGAGGAUACUAUGGAGCUAGGAGGCGGGAGAGGCAAGCGGUACUUAGUGGGUAGGGGGUAAAAUCCGUUGAUCCAUUGAAGACCACCAGUGGCGAAGGCGGCUUGCCAGAACGCACUCGACGGUGAGGGAUGAAAGC
rnacentral:rRNA from 1 species